AAAAAUGGAAUUUAUUUUUACAAAAUUUACUUCUGGAUACUAUCUUAUGAUCAUAAACAAGCUUCUGUCCAAGUUUGGUAGAAAUCCAGUAUAGUUUAAGAAAGUUAUUAAAAUUUCAAAAACUUUAACCACAGAGUGAAUAUUUGUGGACGCCGCCGACGACGACACUGACGACGACGGAAAGUAGGAUCGCUUAGUCUCGCUUUUUCGACUAAAGUCGAAGGCUCGACAAAAAUCUUACAAUGAGCAUAUGAUUGGAAAUUUAUUUAUGAGAAGUUAGACUAAAAAAAGUGGUCGUAUUCUGAAUAUUCGAUCAGCUCACAGUAAAAGGAGAAAAACAUACGAUGUUCAGUCUGAAGGUACCUGUUCAUGUAGGGGGACAUGUCUUAUAGCAGAUUCUCUCCUUGUGGUGAACUAGCAUGUUAAAAAGGAGCUCAGUGCAUUAUUGGUCUAGUUCUGUACAAAAUAUGUUAAUUACAUUGUAUUUAUAUCUGAGUAUCAUGUCCUCUUCCUGCACUUAACUUGCCACUGGAUCACAUAACAUCAAUCCAUCCACCCAUCUUCUCAAAAGUAAUAUAUCGAGUUCCACUGUUCAAUAUGUUCUGAUUUGACUCAAGCAAGAUAUAAAUACAUGUAAUAUGGUAUUGUCAAAUAGAAGUAUUAAUAAGUAUUAAAAACAUAAACCUUGUAGACCACACAAGAUGCAAUUCUGACAAUAAAUAUGACAUAAAGCCAGAAUAUUUAAAAAAAAAAAAGAAGCUAAAGUAACUGUCGAAGAGCUGGAUCUAAAGCUGAACCACUUCAGGACAACAAAAAUCAGAGAAAUAAAAAAAAAACAUAACGAAAACAUUUACAUGUCACGAUAUAGAAAAUGAAUGGAAAUGGGGUAAGUGUCAAAGAGAACAAUUAACCCACCCCAAAUAUACAAAACAACUAGGCAUCACUAUACAGAUACAGUCUGAUUUAAAAAGUGUUAUAAUGAAACAGUACUGAAGAAAUUAGUAACGAAAC
rnacentral:lncRNA from 1 species